GUGAACGCUGGCGGUAGGCCUAACACAUGCAAGUCGAACGGCAGCACAGUAAGCGCUUGCUCUUACGGGUGGCGAGUGGCGGACGGGUGAGGAAUACAUCGGAAUCUACUUUUUCGUGGGGGAUAACGUAGGGAAACUUACGCUAAUACCGCAUACGACCUACGGGUGAAAGCAGGGGAUCUUCGGACCUUGCGCGAUUGAAUGAGCCGAUGUCGGAUUAGCUAGUUGGCGGGGUAAAGGCCCACCAAGGCGACGAUCCGUAGCUGGUCUGAGAGGAUGAUCCGCCACACUGGAACUGAGACACGGUCCAGACCCCUAGGGGAGGCAGAGGGGGGGAAUUUUGGAAAAUGGGCGCAAGCCUGACCCAGCCAUACCGGGGGGGGGAAGAAGGCCUUCGGGUGGAAAAGCCCUUUUGUUGGGAAAAAAAAGCAGCAGGUUAAUACCCCGCUGUUCUGACGGUACCCAAAGAAAAAGCACCGGCUAACUUCGU
rnacentral:rRNA from 1 species